AAGUCGUAACAAGGUUUUCGUAGGUGAACCUGCGGAAGGAUCAUUAGUGAAUCUGGGAGUUACCUGCUUUGCAAAAAGCAGCAGUUCUUAACACUAUCACACACACUUGUGCACUUGUUUUCAUUUAAUUAAUUUGAAACUUUUUUCAAUACGUCGGUAUUGGGAACUUUUUCAUUUUAAUCAAAUCAAACACUUGUGAUAAUACUAUAACAGUUGUUAAUGUAAACCAUUUGAUUUAAAUGAAAGAAAAACUUUCAGCAAUGGAUCUCUUGGCUCUC
rnacentral:misc_RNA from 1 species